UGAGGAAUCUUGCGCAAUGGGGGCAACCCUGACGCAGCCACGCCGCGUGCCGGAAGACGGCCCUAUGGGUUGUAAACGGCUUUUACCAGGGAAGAACCUUUGGGUUUCGACCCGAACUGACGGUACCUGGUGAAUAAGCACCGGCUAGCUCCGUGCCAGCAGCCGCGGUAAUACGGAGGGUGCAAGCGUUGUCCGGAAUCAUUGGGUGUAAAGGGUGCGUAGGCGGAAGCCUAAGUCGGGGGUGAAAUCUUGCCGCUCAACGGUAAAAUGGCCUUCGAUACUGGGUUUCUUGAGUCCGGAAGAGGUUGGUGGAAUUCGUGGUGUAGCGGUGAAAUGCAUAGAUAUCACGAAGAACACCGGUGGCGAAGGCGGCCAACUGGUCCGGCACUAACGCUGAGGCACGAGAGCGUGGGGAGCGAACAGGAUUAGAUACCCUGGUAGUCCACGCUGUAAACGAUGUAUGCUAGUUGUUGGCCCUCCCGGGUCAGUGACGCAGUUAACGCAGUAAGCAUACCACCUGGGGAGUACGUUCGCAAGAAUG
rnacentral:rRNA from 1 species